rnacentral:rRNA from 1 species
GAUGAACGCUGGCGGCGUGCCUAAUACAUGCAAGUCGAGCGAACAGACGAUGAGCUUGCUCCUCUGACGUUUGCGGCGGACGGGUGAGUAACACGUGGAUAACCUACCUAUAAGACUGGGAUAACUUCGGGAAACCGGAGCUAAUCCCGUAGAAUCUAUUGAACCGCAUGGUUCAAUAGUGAAAGACGGCUUUUCUGUCACUUAUAGAUGGAUCCGCGCCGCAUUAGCUAGUUGGUAAGGUAACGGCUUACCAAGGCAACGAUGCGUAGACGACCUGAGGGAGUGAUCGCCCACACUGGAACUGAGCCACGGUCCAGACUCCUACGGGAGGCAGCAGUAGGGAAUCUUCCGCAAUGGGCGAAAGCCUGACGGAGCAACGCGGCGUGAGUGAUGAAGGUCUUCGGAUCGGAAAACUCUGUUAUUAGGGAAGAACAAAUGUGUCAGUAACUAUGCACGUCUUGACGGUAACUAAUCAGAAAGCCACGGCUAACUACGUG